GUCGAUCCGACCCGACAGUCUGGGUCAGACCCAGAUUAUCGACAUGGUUUGAAUUGCUGCAAACGAAAUCGUUGGCCAAUUGCGUGCUCGUCGAUUUGUGUAAUCAUCAAUCAGGUGAGUUUCGAAUCGUUUGGUUAGAAGAUUUUGGGAGACAAUUUUUAAUUAAUUUUUAAUUUGAAUGAUAAAUGUUAAAGAUAGAAGAUUGUUUAUUGAGUUUUUCUAAUGUUUUAACUGUUUUACUUAAGCCGAUCUAAUUUUUAAUCUUGAUGAUUAAGAGUAUUUAAUUAGUUCAACGUUAAUUUGUUGUGUAAGAUCACUCUGUUUUUUUCCUGCUUAGGAUCAAAUGUUCGAUGAAUUAUAAUUCGAAUUUAAAGGCUGCUCAUGUCAAUUAGAAUCAAUUAGCUUCGUAAAAUGUACGUGUCUUGUGUGAAUUUUGGGGGAAUUAUGUGUGAAUUUUGGUGGCCGAAUGUGUGUGAAUUAAAGGGCUUGACCUUGGGCGGCGGCGCAAAGAGGGUGCGGCAGCCACUUUCUUUGGCUUGUGUAUUUUGUUUUUCCUUAUAUUCUUGAGUUUCUUGAGAAUUCAUAGGGUUGGCCCACAAAUGUUAUUUGAAAUAGUGGAUUACGUGUUUAUUUGUUAUGAUUUGAGAGUGUGCCACUAGUGGAUUACACUAAUUAGAUAUUUGUUAUGAUUUGAGAGUGUGCCACUAGUGUGGAUUACACUAAUUAGACUGACAAUUUGUUACCUUCUUUUCUUUUUUGGUUCAGGUUCUUGAGCAACCGAAGUGAUGCCAAAUUUGUUUAUACAUUUGUUAAUAGUGGUUUUGGAUGAACUUUUAUUAAUAGUGGUUUUGGAUAAACAUAUACUGGAUUACACUUAUGUAAUAGUGGAUUACACUAAUUUAAUAGUGAAUUCUGCUUAUUUUAUAGUAAGUUUUACUUCAAUUCCAUAGUGGUUUUCGAUGAAUUUAUGCUUAUUUUAUAUUAAUUUGUACUUUAAUUUC
rnacentral:lncRNA from 1 species